rnacentral:rRNA from 1 species
UACGUAGGGGCAAGCGUUGUCCGGAUUUCUUGGGCGUAAAGAGCGUGUAGGCGGCCAGGUAGGUCAGCUGUGAAAACUCGAGGCUCAACCUCGAGACGCCGGUUGAAACCAUCUGGCUAGAGUCCGGAAGAGGAGAGUGGAAUUCCUGGUGUAGCGGUGAAAUGCGCAGAUAUCAGGAAGAACACCCGUGGCUAAGGCGGCUCUCUAGUACGGUACUGACGCUGAGACGCGAAAGCGUGGGGAGCGAACAGG